ACUGUGUAUCCUGAAGACACUGACAGGGAUUCUGUAGUCUGAGUCAUCACAAUUUCCCCAUUGGAGUGUGGAAUCAUGGGAGGUCAUCGUGGUUUCUUCAGAUGUGACUCUGCAGGGAAGCUUCCUGGGUUCCACCUCCUGUCAUACCAGGCAUCUACCAGAGUGGGUCACUAGAUGAUGAGUCUGGCUCUCCUAAGUCUGCUGCUGAUGGACUUCCACUCAAGCAGGAAAUGCUCCACUCCCAUCUUCAAAAGGACGGCAACACCCUCAUGGUGUUGUCCAUCAUCCCGUCCAAGAUACAGCAAAAUUUCUCCUGAGGCUGCUGUUACUCUUCCUGAUUCCAUCCGUCUGCUUCCUUUUGGCUUUCACCACUGGCAGUCAUACGGGUCAUUGACUC